UCUAUUUAGACGUAGGUGAUAAUAUUGAAACAAUGUCUGGUGGAAGUAUAGCUGGUAGGGCUGUGUUUUAUAUUUUAUAUGUUUUGUAUGGAGAAAUAUGUGCAAUAGGUGGAAAAAUUA